UCCAGACUCCUACGGGAGGCAGCAGUGGGGAAUAUUGCACAAUGGGGGAAACCCUGAUGCAGCGACGCCGCGUGAGUGAGGAAGUAUUUCGGUAUGUAAAGCUCUAUCAGCAGGGAAGAAAAUGACGGUACCUGACUAAGAAGCCCCGGCUAACUACGUGCCAGCAGCCGCGGUAAUACGUAGGGGGCAAGCGUUAUCCGGAUUUACUGGGUGUAAAGGGAGCGUAGACGGAUAAGCAAGUCUGAUGUGAAAAUCCGGGGCCCAACCCCGGAAUUGCAUUGGAAACUGCAUAUCUAGAGUGUCGGAGAGGCAGGCGGAAUUCCUAGUGUAGCGGUGAAAUGCGUAGAUAUAAGGAAGAACACCAGUGGCGAAGGCGGAUUACUGGACGAUAACUGACGGUGAGGCGCGAAAGCGUGGGGAGCAAACAGGAUUAGAUACCCGUGUACG
rnacentral:rRNA from 1 species